UAGCCCUAAAUCUUGAUGACCCCAAACACAAACAUCCGCCUGAGAACUACGAGCACAAACGCUUAAAACUCUAAGGACUUGGCGGUGCUCUAAACCCACCUAGAGGAGCCUGUUCUAUAAUCGAUAAUCCACGAUUCACCCGACCACCUCUUGCCAAAACAGCCUAUAUACCGCCGUCGCCAGCCCACCUCGUGAGAGCACAACAGUGAGCCCAACAGCCCACAGCCCACUAACAAGACAGGUCGAGGUAUAGCCUAUGAGAUGGAAGAAAUGGGCUACAUUUUCUAAAAUAGAAAACCCAACGAAAAGGGGCUUGAAACCUGCCCCCAGAAGGCGGAUUUAGCAGUAAAGUAGGA
rnacentral:rRNA from 1 species